rfam:Xenopus laevis strain J chromosome 2S, whole genome shotgun sequence.
ACCAGGAUGGCCGAGUCAUUAAGGCGUUGGACUUAAGAUUCAAUGGAUGUAUGUCCACAUGGGUUUGAAACCCACUCCUGGUA